rnacentral:rRNA from 1 species
GACGAACGCUGGCGGCGUGCUUAACACAUGCAAGUCGAACGGAAAGGCCCUGCUUUUGUGGGGUGCUCGAGUGGCGAACGGGUGAGUAACACGUGAGUAACCUGCCCUUGACUUUGGGAUAACUUCAGGAAACUGGGGCUAAUACCGGAUAGGAGCUCCUGCUGCAUGGUGGGGGUUGGAAAGUUUCGGCGGUUGGGGAUGGACUCGCGGCUUAUCAGCUUGUUGGUGGGGUAGUGGCUUACCAAGGCUUUGACGGGUAGCCGGCCUGAGAGGGUGACCGGCGACAUUGGGACUGAGAUACGGCCCAGACUCCUACGGGAGGCAGCAGUGGGGAAUAUUGCACAAUGGGCGGAAGCCUAAUGCAGCAACGCCGCGUGCGGGAUGACGGCCUUCGGGUUGUAAACCGCGUUCGCCUGUGACGAAGCGUGAGUGACGGUAAUGGGUAAAGAAGCACCGGCUAACUACGUG